GAUGAACGCUGGCGGCGUGCCUAAUACAUGCAAGUCGAGCGAACGGACGAGUAGCUUGCUUUUCUGAUGUUAGCGGCGGACGGGUGAGUAACACGUGGAUAACCUAUCUAUAAGACUGGGAUAACUUCGGGAAACCGGCGCUAAUACCGGAUAAUAUUUUGAACCGCAUGGUUCAAAAGUGAAAGACGGUCUUGCUGUCACUUAUAUAUGGAUCCGCGCUGCAUUAGCUAGUUGGUAAGGUAACGGCUUACCAAGGCAACGAUGCAUAGCCGACCUGAGAGGGUGAUCGGCCACACUGGAACUGAGACACGGUCCAGACUACUAAGGGAGGCAGCAGUAGGGAAUCUGCCGCAAUGGGCGAAAGCCUGACGGAGCAACGCCGCGUGAGUGAUGAAGGUCUUCGGAUCGUAAAAAUCGGUUAUUAGGGAAGAACAUAUGUGUAAGGAACUGUGCACAACGUGACGGUACCUAAUCAGAAAGCCACGGCUAACUACGUG
rnacentral:rRNA from 1 species